rnacentral:rRNA from 1 species
UCUUCCCUCUUUCUUCGUGCCUCCUCCCUGCACGUCGAGCGCACGGACGAGAAGCUUGCUUCUCUGAUGUUAGCGGCGGACGGGUGAGUAACACGUGGAUAACCUACCUAUAAGACUGGGAUAACUUCGGGAAACCGGAGCUAAUACCGGAUAAUAUUUUGAACCGCAUGGUUCAAAAGUGAAAGACGGUCUUGCUGUCACUUAUAGAUGGAUCCGCGCUGCAUUAGCUAGUUGGUAAGGUAACGGCUUACCAAGGCAACGAUGCAUAGCCGACCUGAGAGGGUGAUCGGCCACACUGGAACUGAGACACGGUCCAGACUCCUACGGGAGGCAGCAGUAGGGAAUCUUCCGCAAUGGGCGAAAGCCUGACGGAGCAACGCCGCGUGAGUGAUGAAGGUCUUCGGAUCGUAAAACUCUGUGAUUAGGGAAGAACAUAUGUGUAAGUAACUGUGCACAUCUUGACGGUACCUAAUCAGAAAGCCACGGCUAACUACGUG